rnacentral:rRNA from 1 species
UACGGAGGGUGCAAGCGUUGCUCGGAAUCACUGGGCGUAAAGAGCGUGUAGGCGGUUUCGUAUGUCUGGCGUGAAAGCCCCGGGCUCACCCCGGGAAGUGCGCUGGAAACUGCGAGACUAGAGUCCCGGAGAGGAAGGUGGAAUUCCAGGUGUAGCGGUGAAAUGCGUAGAUAUCUGGAAGAACACCGGUGGCGAAGGCGGCCUUCUGGACGGUGACUGACGCUGAGACGCGAAAGCGUGGGGAGCAAACAGG